rnacentral:rRNA from 1 species
AUUAAACGCUGGCGGCAUGCCUUACACAUGCAAGUCGAACGGCAGCACGGGGGCAACCUUGGUGGCGAGUGGCGAACGGGUGAGUAAAGCAUCGGAACGUGCCCUGGAGUGGGGGAUAACGUAGCGAAAGUUACGCUAAUACCGCAUAUUCUGUGAGCAGGAAAGCAGGGGAUCGCAAGACCUUGCGCUCUGGGAGCGGCCGAUGUCGGAUUAGCUAGUUGGUGGGGUAAAAGGCCCUACCAAGGCGACGAUCCGUAGCGGGUCUGAGAGGAUGAUCCGCCACACUGGGACUGAGACACGGCCCAGACUCCUACGGGAGGCAGCAGUGGGGAAUUUUGGACAAUGGGCGAAAGCCUGAUCCAGCCAUGCCGCGUGAGUGAAGAAAGGCCU